ACGGAGCUCCAUUGCCGCUGAAUGGUGGCCAAACCAUUAUCCCCAGCAUCUGGCUUCGCUCGCUCUCCUCCCCCUUCCGUGUCGCAGGGCAGGGGAGCCGACAACCUGUGGGUGGGGACGGAGGGGUAGCCUGGCCCGGAGCUCCCGGCCUCCUGUCCCUGUGUCCCCUUGCUCAGCCUCACGCUUCCCCACAGGCGGUGUUGGCACCCCCUCCCUUCCCCAGAGACCUCGGCGGGACUCAUGGGGGACCUCUGGAAGGAGUGGGUUGGGGGCCUUGGGAGGCUGAGGGAGCAGGGAGACCUGACCGAGGUCACAGCGGACAGUUGGUCAGAGCGAUGGAGAACUCAAGAGGCGUUGAGCUCCGUGAGUGACAACUUUGUGGAGACACGGCCCAGCUGAGGAGGGUGCUGGUUGCAGAAGACAGCGGCCAUCCUGUGGGGUCCUGGGCGCCCGUUUGCAUUUAUUUGUAACCCCCCAAAAAGAGACAGAUGCGUGGCAGCCUGGCUCCGUGCAAUGCGGAUGGAUACAAAGGUCACAUGGAUGAGGGUACUGAUGUAGGAGGGGCUGACAGCCUCGAUGGAUUUGGACUUUGGACGAGGAGAGACCAGGCCCUGGAUGUGGCCCUGGAUGUGGCUGAAGGCACAGCGUGACCCGUGGCGAAGACCAGCCUCUGGUGCUGUUGAGC